CAAAAUUAUAAAACUAAGGUAUCAAUUCAGGUUAAGCAUCGGAAAAGACACAAGUAUCCAUGAACUAUAAACGAAAUUUCACGAACACAUCUUAAUUUUAUAGAGGUUUUAUUGCCACUGAAAUAUUUUGAAGUGUAAAAUACGUACACUCUUGGAAGCGCAAAAAAUAUGGGAAAGAUUUGAUCCAUAUAGACACAUAUCCUUUUCGAAUUAGACACUUUAUAAUUAGUUAAUACACACAAUUAUUAUUAUUAUUUUUUAAAUUUCAGAAUAAUUCGCAAUCGGUACAACUUCUGUCACAGUAUUUGCCCUUCAAGUGAGCACUUUGUGCGCACUGAAAAAAACCCCACUCAAAACACAUAAUUACAAACAGUAAAACUUAUGUGUUUCAAUUAUUUUUUCCCUCCAUUUCAUAUUAGUUGUUGUUGAGUUUAAUUGGUGUGAAUGGAAAAUUGAGGGACACAACCUUUGAAGAAAAGACAUAUGCUUUUGGAAAAGGAGUGACUGUUCAGAUAAUUGUGUCUGUUCAGAAAAAGACACAAUGUUUCAAAUGAACAGACAUGACUCAUCCAAAGAAUACACCUUUUGGGAUGAACCAUUGCCACCUUUCGUAAGGGGCACUUGAUGACUAUAUAAACCUACAUUUAUCCAUAGGUUUAGUAAUGAAAUUUUUUCUGCAAUAAAGCUCUUCUUGUUUUCUGAAAAUAUACUCUGUGUGAUCAUCUAAUCGUUGAGUGAGUUCGAAGAGAAUCCGAUCGUUUGAGGUACCACUACAGUCGGAUUGUUGGGCAAUUUAUCCUAGGAGAAAAAUUCGCAACCUCGAGUAUUUGAGAGGAAUUAUUUCCAUAAGGACACUUCGUGAAUUCGAAGGACUUGUCCUUUUCUAUUUCAUCUAAUUUUCUUAAAAGAAAAAAAAUACUUCUUUGAAAGGUCUUUUUGAUCUUGUGUUGAGGCUGUUAUAUAACUUCAUAGGUGUUCUUGUUUUUAGACUUGAACUUGUGUUGAAGUUGUUGUGCCUAAGUACAGAUUAUUGUACCCGAAAUCAUUGGAAACAACAAUCUUAAGAAAAUAAAUUUGAAUUUUUUAUUUUAUUUUUUGCUUGUUUGGUGAAAUUUUCUUUUCACUGAAUUUUUUUUUUCGGAAUCUGUAUUGCUUGGUUUCUGGAGAUUAAAACUUUUUGCUUUCUACUCCGUUUGAACUUAAUUAGUGAUUUGAAGAAAUAAAAUCUUUAUCACAAGUUAAAGAUCACUCGGUUGACGAUUGGAAGUCACAAAAACUUCAUCGUUAAACUAGAAACAAAUGGUGUUUAAAGUUGCUGCAACUUUAUUGAUUAGUAUUUUGAUAUACUAAAUUUUUUGUCUUGUUGUGACAGGAAAAUGACUACGGAUAGUCAAAUGCAUGAUGUUGGAACGACUAUGGCAGUAACUAGUAUUUCCACGACGAGUCGUACUAAUGCUCCGCAAGCUAUGACACAGGCGGAGAAACACGAAAAGUUCGCGGGUAUUGACUUCAAGAGGUGGCAUAAAAAAAUGUUUUUCUACCUCACAACACUUUAUCUUCAAAGGUUCACGUUUAAGGAAGUUCCGGAGGUGCCCUGGGGAACCUCUGAACAAGAGCGAUUAGUGAUUGUGGAGGCUUGAAAACACUCAGAUUUCCUUUGCAGGAAUUACAUCUUGAGUGGUCUCUAAGAUGACCUAUACAAUGUGUAUAUUGGAACAAAGACAGUAAAAGAGUUAUGGGGAGCGCUAGAACGGAAGUGCAAGAUAGAGGAUGCAGGAACUAAAAAGUUCUUUGUUGCAAGAUUCCUGGAAUAUAAAAUAAUAGACAGCAAGUCUGUUGUUUCCCAAGUGUAGGAACUGCAAGUGAUCAUCCAUGAUCUCCUUGCAGAAGGUCUGAUCGUAAAUGAACCGUUUCAAGUAGCAUCAAUAAUGGAGAAGAUACCACCUAUGUGGAAGGACUUCAAGAACUAUUUGAAACACAAACGUAAGGAGAUUCCAGUCGAAGAUCUAAUUGUACGACUGUGCAUUGAAGAAGAUAAUAAGGGUAUGAAAAAAAGGUCAAGAGGAAAUUCUACAAUGAAUAGAGCAAAUAUUGUAGAAGAUCACUACAACUCCAAAGAGCGAAAGAAGGCUGAAAAUGAAAGCAACUAACCCAAGAAGAAAUUCAAGGGAAAAGGCUUCAACUAUUGCAAGAUUGACCACAAAUCAAUAUAUUGUCGGGCCCCUAAGAAAGGCAAGAAAAAGGACCAAGCAAAUGUGGCUGAGUCCAAGAAAGAAAUAGAUGAUAUAUGUGUCAUGCUUUCCGAAUGCAACUUGGUGGGAAAUCAUCGCGAAUGGUGGAUGGAUUCCGGUGCCACCCGCCAUGUUUGUGCUAAUAAGGAGUUGUUUUCAACGUUUGCUCCAGCUUAAGGAGAAGAAAAAAUCUUCAUGGCUAACUCCGCUACUGCAAAAGUAGAAGGAACAGGAAAAGUAUGCUUGAAAAUGACUUCAGACAAAUUAUUGACACUCAACAAUGUCCUGUACGUACCGGAGUUAAGAAAGAAUUUGAUUUCUAUAUCACUUCUAGAUAAAAAUGGAUUCAAAUGUGUAAUUUUUUUUGAAAAAGUUGUAAUUAGCAAAGGAGAAGUGUAUGUAGAAAAAGGCUAUCUCACUGAGGGCCUAUAUAAGAUGAAUGUAAUGAAUAUUGAAAUCAAUAAAAGUUCUGCUUCUUCUUACUUGCUUAAGCCUUAUGAUUUAUGGAAUUAAUGAUUAGGCCAUGUUAAUUACAAAACAUUGCAAAAACUGAUUAACUUAGAAGUUUUGCCAAACUUUGAGUGUAAUAAAUCAAAAUGUCAAACGUGUGUGGAAUCAAAGUAUGCUAAGAAUUCGUAUAAGUCAGUUGAAAGAAAUUUCAAUCCCUUAGACUUAAUCCAUACUGAUAUUUGUGAUAUGAAGUCAACACCAUCUCGUGGUGGAAAAAAGUAUUUUAUAACUUUUAUUGACGAUUGCACUAGAUACUAUUAUGUCUAUUUGCUAAAUAGUAAGGAUGAAGCAAUAGAUGCAUUUAGGCAAUAUAAAACUGAAGUUGAAAUCAGUUAGAGAAAAAGAUAAAAUGAUAAGAAGUGAUAAGGGCGGAGAAUAUGAAUCUCCUUUUGCCGAAAUAUAAAUAGAGAAUGAAAUUGUCCAUCAAACUACAACCUCAUAUUCAACCCAGUCUAAUGGAAUUGUAGAAAGGAAAAAUCAAACUUUGAAGAAAAUAAUGAAUGCCUUACUUAUAAGUUUAAGUUAACCGCAAAAUUGGUGGGAGAAAGUUAUCCUUACAGCCAACCAUAUACUUAAUAGAGUUCCCAUAGUAAGACACAAUCAAUUUCUUAUGAAAAAUGGAAAAGAAGGAAACCCAACUUAGAAUAUUUCAAAAUGUGAGGGUGUCUAGCGAAGGUCCAAAUUCCUAUGCCUAAAAGGGUUAAGAUAGGACCUAAGAUGGUGGACUGUGUGUUCAUAGGAUAUGCUAAAGUAGCAAAGCAUGUUGGUUUUUGGUUCAUAAAUUCAAAUAUCCGGAUAUUAAUGAAAAUACGGUAAUUCAAUCAGAUAAUGCUGAAUUCUGUGAAAACAUUUAUCCAUAUAAAACUAAACAUGAACAGUUUAGUGGGGGGUCUAAACGACCUCAAGAUGAACCAAGUGAGAAUGUACAUAAUGAUGAAAAUCCAAGAUGUAGUACACAUCAAAGAAUGUCAACUUCAUUUGGAUCAGAUUUUGUAAUAUUUCUCUUAGAAAAUGAGCCUCAAACUUUUAAAAAAAUGAUGUCGUCGUCAGACUUAUCCUUUUGAAAAAAGGUGGUCAAUAAUGAGAUUGAUUCAAUCUUAAGCAACCAUAUGUGGGAGUUGGUUGAUCUUUCUCCAGGAAAUAAACCUUUAGGUUCUAAAUGGAUCUUCAAAAGAAAAAUAAAAACGGAUGGUACUAUUGACAAAUAUAAGGCAAAACUUAUAGUAAAAGGCUUCAAACAGAAAGAAGGCCUUGAUUACUUUGAUACAUACUCGCCAGUAAAAAGGAUAAGGUCGAUUCGAAUGUUAAUUGUCUUAACGAUGGUAUAUGGUCUUGAAAUCCAUCAAAUGGAUGUAAAAACAGCAUUCCUGAAUGGAGAAUUGGAGGAAGAAAUCUAUAUGGAACAACCCGAGGGUUUUGUGGUUCCAGAAAAAGAAAAUAAAGUGUGUAAACUUGUAAAGUCAUUGUGUGGACUUAAACAAACACCUAAAUAAUGGCAUGCGAAGUUUAAUCAAACCAUGUUGGCAAACGGGUUCAAGAUAAAUGAAUGUGAUAAAUGUGUCACGCCUCCAAACAAUAAUGACGGACAAGAACCAUAUACACUUACUCUACAAACAUUAUGAUGUAUACAAGGUUAUAAAAUAAUAACGAGUAGGAUGCUCGAUAAGCAUUGCAUAUGUACACGAGGGAGUUAACAAAACUAUAUAAUACUAGACGAUAUCUAUGAAGCCUUUAGUCAGUUUAACACACUAUACUACAAAUGACUAGUUGGCAUUAAGACCGUCAUGCCCAACCAAAGACGUGUACCUAUAAUCAAUACUAUACUAGGCAUAGACUGGCUCCAGAGAGAGUUGGAGCUCACCAAAAUAUCAGCUGAAACGACAAUAAAACCUAACGUGGACGUCUGCUAUCCAGAGGGUUUGAGCCUACAUUAGUAAAACAUGGUGGGCCCGAGACAUCAGUACAUGUACAACAUGUAUUGGUAUGAAAGCAGACAGAAAAACAGCUGAACAAAUACAGAAGCUCAUAUGAGUCAAAUAGCCAAGUGAAAAACGUAUGAGCCAACAAAUAACACAUGUACGAUAUGAACUGAUAACUUAUGCACCAACCUUAUUAGCAUCUUAUACAAUAUUUAAAGAAAAGCAUUCAAUUAUAAUUUAGGGCCUAUACCUUGCCUAGGUGAUGCUCUUAUCCUAUAAGUCGUACACAUGAUCACAAGAUGGCCUUCCGAAGGUGAUUUGAGGUAAGUAUAAAGAAUAUGUUGCUCUCAUACUCAUUGCUAUGAUAUCAUAGGUGUAAUUGUAAUCGUAGUCUGUAUCGUAUCCAGGUACGCCCCACCCAGGGGCUCACUAUGAGGGUCUGCCCGCAGGCCAUAUAUACCAUAUGCUGGCUCGAGUCAGGGGAAUCCAAUAAAGGAUGCUCCAGCUGACUUCAAAUACAAAUGAUGCCACAAAAGUGGGUACGCCCAAUAAUUGGGCUCACUAUAGUGGUCUGGUCUUGAUCUUGUGCACAGAAUCACGUCGAACGAUAUGCCAAGCCAAACCUAUGUACCUUCCCGUCAUUAAUGUUUAUCAAAUAAUGCCUUGAAGCCUAUGACAUGUUAGUUACGAUAUUGAUCAUCUAGAUAGCAUAUACAAGUACAACUAUGCUAUUACUAUUUACUUUUACUCCUGACGUGUGAUAUAUGUGUAUAUAUUGUGGUCUAAGGGCUUUAGGUAGAGAAACUUAACACAAGGAGAGAAAGAUAGGUACUUGUAAGCCUGAUGGUAGAAUGAGGGAGUAAUACGUAAGGCAAUGUAAAGGUUUUACUCACACAAUUUAUGAGAACUAUAUUAAUAUAAAUAGAAAGGAGCACAUGACGUAAGGUGGUGCCUUAGCGGCGAGGGAAGGUUUAGCUUUACAUACCUUAAUGAUUUAUUAGCUACAAUAGUAAUUUCAGCCUCAAAUAAUUCAACCCGCUACAUUGAAGCCUUUAUCCUUUCAAACACUAGUUCCUUUUAGCCGCUACGCGAUUCACUAGCUACAAGGAUAACAUAUAUGUCCGUAAGUAAUCCGUAGGAGCAUUUAGUAACUUAUUCCGAUAAUCUUCACUUAUGCCAAAAUUAAUUGAAUUUCUUAUCAAGAAUCCGGAGUAAAUUCUAAUUCUUCCAACUUAUACAAUUCAAGGGUAAAACUACACAAUCGAUUGAAAUUCCCAAAAGCUCAUCUUCAACCAAAAUUCUCCAUUUCCCCCCUUUUCCUUUCAUGAACCCAAUUCAAGUAGUAGUGCAAAGAUACAAAGUAAACAUCUCUAAGAUACUUAUUUAUAGCCAAAUUCAAGAAAGGGAUAGAGAAUUCACCUUCUAAAAUUCAACUCCAACUUUAGGUUAUUGAAGUCAACCCUCAAGGAUUACUUCAAAAUCAUCGUAAGAAUCCUUUCCUCCCUUUCUUCUUAUAGUGAAUUCUUGAAUACCAAGAGAAGGAGAAGAAGUCGAGUAUCAAUACCCCAGCUGCCGCCUAAUGUUUUCUCUGAAGGCUUGGUUUUAAUUUCUUAAUCGAUAAUGAAAAGAAAGAAAACAAAAGAGGGGUAACCUUACUUUUAGUUUCCUGGAAACAGUUUCCAGUGAACAAGGGAAAUAAUUAGGGAAAUUGUUUAAAAAGGGUGGCCCCCUACAACUGCGCACUUAUAUUACAUACAAAUACUAAGUAUAUAAAUAUUCCAUUCCGUUCGCUUUUGUUUCGUACCGCAACUACCUUUGUAAGCCAAAGUUCUACUUAAAUUAAGUUGUUAAUUCAAAAUUUUUUCCUCGAGAUGCUACAAAAUGCGUCUACAUUAAAGAUACUCCAAAUCACCAAGUCAUUGUUUGUUUAUAUGUAGAUGAUAUAUUGAUCAUUAGUAGAGACAUUUCUCACAUAAAGGCCACAAAGCGAAUGCUCGAGAGCAAGUUCAAUAUGAAAGAUCUUGGAGUUGCGGAUGUGAUCUUAGGAAUAAAAAUUCACAAAACUCCACAAGGGUUGGCAUUUUCACAGUCUCAUUACAUAAAAAAGGUACUUGACAAAUUCAAGUAUUUAGAAUUUAGUAUUGCCAAGACUUCAUUGAACGUGAGCUUCACACUUCAAAAGAAUGAGGGUGAAAGUGACUCACGGUUGGAGUAAGCAAGAGUGUUGGGAUGUUCAAUGUAUAUCAUGAAGUGUACAUGACUAGACAUAGCAUGCGCUAUUAGUAAAUUGAGACGGUACACGAGUAAUCCCAGUAAAACUCAUUGGAUGGCAAUGAAAAAAGUUUUGGGGUAUAUUAAAUACUCUCAAGACUAUGCUUAGCAUUAUAACAAAUAUUCCAUGGUACUUGAAGGAUAUAGUGAUGCAAAAUGGAUCACCGGAUUGAAUGAAGUAAAAUCCACAAGUGGAUAUGUAUUUACUAUCGGUGGAGGAGCAGUCUCUUGGAAAUCAUCCAAACAAACAUGUAUUGCUCGCUCUACAAUGGAAUCUGAGUUUAUCACAUUGGAUAAAGUUGGUGAAGAAGCAAAAUGACUCUGGAAUUUCAUGGAAGAUAUUCCUUAUUGGCCCAAACCAGUGGUACCAGUAUGUAUACACUGCGAUAGCCAAAUGGCAAUAGGUAGAGCAGGGAGCAUGAUGUACAACGGUAAAUCUCGUCACAUAAGAUGGAGACAUAAUACCGUUAGAGAACUUCUCUCUAGUAGAAUUAUGAAUGUUGACUAUGUGAAGUCAAAGGAUAAUAUGUCAGAUCCACUUACAAAAGGUCUGUCUAGAGAAGGAAUUGAGAGGACAUCCAAUGGAAUGGGUUUAAGGUCUAGGACAAGUCAGCAUGGUGGUAACUCUACCUAGCAGACUGGAGAUCCCAAGAGCUAGGUUCAAGGAGAUCAAACAAAGUUAUGCCUGACAGGUUCAACAUUGUCAAUAUACCCAACCCAUUCUCAUGAUGUAGACAAUGUUUAGUAAACAAGGAUAAAACUUAAGGUAAGAAGUCUUUUAAUGAUUAUCUAAAUUUGGUAGAUUUGAUCAAAUAGUUUAAUCUACAGGAUUGAACAUUUAGAAAUCACCUAUGUGAGGGUGAAGUCGAAGCCAUUUUAAGGAGAAUGUUAGUAAGGGUCUAUUCUCUAAGCUCUCAUGAGACCGGGACGUGUUCAUGGAUAAAAUGAACAAAAUCGUGAAAACCAUAAAUAGUAAAAGGGUGGUUAUGUGAUAUGUGUUGUCUAGGUGUACAUUAAAGAUCGACAGUUCAAAGAUAUCAAAUCUACCGAUUGACCGAGUGCACCCGAUACAUGUUUACUAUGAAAAGUUCAAAGGGAUACCCACUUAUACAGAUGCAAUCAGUCUUUACUUGAUGAUCACAUAUUUGUCCAUAAAAUUUUACAAAGAAUAUUCAUUCCCCAUUCAUGUGGGGGUUUGUUGAGUUCAAUUGGUAUGAAUGGAAAAUAGAGGGACACAACCUUUGAGGAAAAGAUAUAUUGUUUUGGAAAAGAAGUGACUGUUCAGAUACUUGUGUUUGUUCAGAAAAAUACAUAAUGUUUCAAAUGAACAGACAUGAAUCUUCGAAAGGAUACACCUUUUUAGAUAAACCAUUGCCACCUUUCGGAAGGGGCACUUAAUGGCUAUAUAAACCUGCAUUUAUCCACAGGUUUGGUAACAAAAAAUUUUCUGCAAUAAAGCUCUUCUUGUUUGCUGAAAAUAUACUCUCUGUGAUCAUCUAAUCGUUGAGUGAGUUCAAAGAGAAUCCGAUCGUUUGAGGUACCACUACAGUCGAAUUGUUAGGCCAUUUUAUCCUGGGAGAAAAAUUCCGCAACCUCGGAUACUUGAGGGGAAUUAUUUCCUUAAGGACACUCCGUGAAGUCGAAGGACUUGACCUUUUCUGUUUCAUCUAAAUUUUUGAAAAGCAAAAAAAAAUAUUCUUUGAAAGGUCUUUUUGAUCUUGAGUUGAGGGUGUUAUAUAACUUCAUAGGUGUUCUUGUUUUUAGACUUGAACUUGUAUUGAAGUUGUUGUGUCUAAAUACAGAUUCUUGUACCCGAAAUCAUUGAAAACAACAGUUGUCAGUUUUCUAUUGUAUCUAUCUCUUAAUAAAUCAUAAGAAAACAUGGACGGUAUUACUAAUUUAUCAUUUAUCCAUUUAGACUUUCAAAAACAAUUAUAGGGGUAAAAUGAAAAUUUUAAUUAUUUUUAUGUUGAUUUAUUAAAUGUAUAAAUAAUUUGAGAUAAUCACUUAUAAGGUGUUGGAUAAAUAGUAUAAGACGGAUCAGAGUACAUAAAUUGCUGAAUUCACUUCAUAUAAGGGUAGCUUCUAGUGUUUUAAGGUGGCUCAAAAAUUAAUUCAGAUUUCUAGGCUCCUUUUGUAUUAUUUUAGGCAAAAUACAUACAUAGCUACUUAAUUUUUUUUCUAUCUUUCCACUUAGAUACUUGUAUUUAGCUCUGCACCUAUUGAACACUUAAUUUCUGAAGAAAAUAUGUCAAUUAGAUACAAUUUGCUGAUGUAGCAUAGUUCGUACACUACACUGAAUUUGGAAGUGUGAAAUGUUACAUUUUUUAAUUUUUUUUCUUAAAUAUCUUUAUCUUUUUCAUUGUCUUUUAAUCUCUUCUUUCUCAUUAUUUUUCUUUUUAAAAUAUUUUUUUGAGAAAAUACAUAAAAAAAUUCCUGAUCUUGUCCGAUUUUUUUUUAAAAAAAUACUUAAACUUUACUUUCGACCUAUUACCCCACGAAUCUUACUUAAAUCGUUGUAAAUACACCAUUUUUUUGCUGAAUUUCAAUUACAAGAAAAAGAGUGAAUGCACACACCAAUCAGAUGUUGCCACGUGUUAAAUAAUUUAAUUUCAUAUUUUAUUUAUAUUUUUGAAUAAAGUUUUCCUUUUUAUUUUAU
rnacentral:lncRNA from 1 species